rnacentral:tRNA from 1 species
GCCUGGGUGGCUCAGUCAGUUAAGCGUCCGACUUCGGCUCAGGUCAUGAUCUCACGGUUUGUGAGUUCGAGCCCCGCCUCGGGCU